UUGGAAUCCUUUAAGCCAACCACCAACAUCAAAUUGCUCUGAAGACAGAACAGUCCAAACAUUGAUUUCUAUGACAGAUAGAAUUGAAUACAAAGGAUAUAGGGAAGGUUAUUGCUUUUUCUCCCAACCUUGACAGUGUUUAAAUGCCAGAAAUGUUAUUUAAUAAUCCACUACCAUAGAGUGUGAGAAUUCAAGCAAGAAGAAUUAAACGUGUGUACAAAGAAGUGGGCUAUGACAUAGUGGGUACAAUAAUAGUACAGGAAAGGUUAUUAUUGGAUCUACCUACAUGGCAACAUAAAGGGAGGAGAAAGAGAAAGAGCUUCUUAUAGACCUGUAGUGAAAUCUGGCUCCUCAACAUAUUCCUGAUUUCCAGGUUGCUUCCCUAAAGACUUUGGAGAAUUUCCUUUUAGUGAAUCUUGCUCCAGUCAUUGACCCUUUUCUAUUAAAGGUAUACCGCAUCGAGCAGGAUGAAGAUUUCCAGAAACUUGGAUCAUAUUUGAUUUGGGGGCCCUCCUAUUUGUUCUGUUCAAGCUGCUGACCACAUGCUUAGCUGGCCAAGUAAAUUCUUUCCAUCAGAGUAACAAGCUAUUUGCACAAGAUCAUCAGGGUAUACAUAUAAAUCUUAUCAAGAAUAAAAU
rnacentral:lncRNA from 1 species